rnacentral:rRNA from 1 species
CCUACGGGAGGCAGCAGUGAGGAAUAUUGGUCAAUGGGCGCAAGCCUGAACCAGCCAAGUCGCGUGAGGGAUGACGGUCCUAUGGAUUGUAAACCUCUUUUGUCGGGGAGCAAGGCCCGCCACGUGUGGCGGGAAGGAGAGUACCCGAAGAAAAAGCAUCGGCUAACUCCGUGCCAGCAGCCGCGGUAAUACGGAGGAUGCGAGCGUUAUCCGGAUUUAUUGGGUUUAAAGGGUGCGUAGGCGGAUUGAUAAGUUAGAGGUGAAAUGUCCGAGCUUAACUCGGGAACUGCCUCUAAUACUGUUGAUCUAGAGAGUAGAUGCGGUAGGCGGAAUGUAUGGUGUAGCGGUGAAAUGCUUAGAGAUCAUACAGAACCCCGAUUGCGAAGGCAGCUUACUAAACUGUGACUGACAUUGAUGCUCGAAAGUGUGGGUAUCAAACAGGAUUAGAUACCCCGGUAGUC